UUAUUAUUAAUAUCUAUUAAUAGAACUAUGGAAAUGAACAGUGUUUGUUUUCAUGGUUUGUUCUGAUUGGACUAUUUUGUGGUCAUCCCCACUUCAGACACGUGUGUUCCACAUCUAUACCUUACCCUAAAGAGGAAAAUGUACACCUCAGAAGAGGAGAACGAGAUGAGUGAGAAUGGUGGGUGGGUGCAGAUUUUAGAGAGAGGAAGAGAUGGGAGCAACUUCCUCCGCCACCACGGCGGCCAGUUUGUUGUUCGGUAAUCCUGCAGAGUGGAGGAUGCGGUGUGUAGGUUGAGAGAGAAAGCUGGGAGGAGUGGUGUCAUCCCUGGUGGUGGGGCCUUGACGGCGGCCAGGUGCAUGUCGGCGCCUGGUUCUCUCUUCCGCCCCCUCUCUCUCUCAUGUCGCCGCCUCCUGAGGUCUUCUCUUUCAGUCUCUCUCUCUCUCUCUCUCACCACCUACUGUGUUUACCAGAGGCUGUUACCGACCACUCGCCUUCCUCCGGUCGUUGACGGUGUAUAGUGGCGGGCAGGGGUAUUUUUGUCAUUUGCUGACACCUUAGAAGGCCAUAUGACCUGUGGUCUGCUUGCCAACCACCGCUCCUGGUUGGAGCACGAUGGCAACGGUUUUGUGUGUCAAUAUCAUUCAAGUGUUUUACCUCUUUGUGGUUAAUUUUCUUAUGGGUUUUGGUUUCUUGGCUGUGAUCUAGAUGUGAGCCUACUUAAUUGAUGUGUUUUUAGCAGUUUUGUGAUCUAAUUACGGUAUUUUGCUACAGUUUUGUUGGUUGGCUGUGGCAAUCGAUGGUUUUGUCACGCAGCUAUGAUGAUCUCAAAAGUCUUUUACCAAUUGAUUUUGGCAUGGCAAUGAUGGCGGAUGGUAGGGUUUGACCUGCAACCCACCUUGCAGCCAUGAUUUCUGGUAGAUCUGAGCCACAUCGUUUUGUUGUACUUUUCGAGUCUUCUUUCUUGAAGCCAUCUUCAUCACUGUGGUAAAACCCUAACCGCCGUCACCAUCGGUUUCUGCUGAUAACACCUGAAACGGCAAACCCUGGCCACCACUUGUGGUGCGACUGUUGACUAUCGUUGUGGUGACUGAAACCCCAUUCGUCUGCAUGUGUGCUUUUUCAAUAAUUGAGGUAAAACCCAUCUACCCUACCACUGAUCUCAUCUUCUCUCACAACAUCUAUGCCUCUGUUUCUGCUCUGGAGAUGUCUGGUGGCCUAAUAGGAGAUGAACAGUUGUAUUGUCUGCUAAAAUAGAAAAAGGUUGAUUUAAGGUUUUGGAGCUGGCUGGAAAUGCAGCAAGAGACAACAAGAAAACAAAAUCAUUCCGAGACGUGUUUUUAUGGCUUCCAGGUAGUCCUUUUAUCGUUGCAUCGUAGUUAUUUUUCCAUGUGUAACCUAUAAAUUUUCACCUUUACUUUGUGUUUUUAGCAGUUAGAAUGUAGAAUAAGAAUCAAUUGGUUGUGUAAAUCGUUCACCAAGAUUUGUAAACUAUUUGUUUCUGGUUCGUUUUACAACAAGAUCUCAAUUUAAUUGCACUAAUGCAUUGAUGCAUCAUGUUCCUUGAUAAGACAACAAGGGACAAUUUAAGUACUCAUUUGAUUAUUAUUGUUUUGCAAGUCCUGUCAAGCCCUUCAAAGAUGAUUCGGGGUUUGUUUUGGCCUUGAUUAGGAUAGAAAAUAACUUAUUGCCCAUGUUAUUUUACUAUUAUAUAGUGAUUCAGAUGUGGAACCUGUUAUGUUUAAAAUGGUAUUAUUUUAUUUUUAUGUAAUGAUGCACCUGUGCAUAAUAAUCAUAAAUCAUUUUGGAUAACUUUCCAUUUGGAAUUGUCUCAUAUUCCAUAACAUAGGCAAUCCCAUCUUUAACUAGAAGUAAACUUUCCGAAUAACUCAUAAGGAACUGACAGUGGUUUCUGACCCGUAAUCAGCGACGACGUUCCUUCCUCCGCUAAGAUCCGUUGCCUAGCAGUUUCCGGUAAUAAUUUCUAGAGUUGAAAUGUUCGUAUAUGUAGAAAAUAGUUGUGAAGAGUACUUUGGAAUGGGAUUGUAUAACUUAGUUUGUUGAAAUGUUUAUAUAUGUAGAAAUUUGGCGUAGUGGGAUUGUAUAACAUGGUUUGUAUAGCUUAUAGGUAAACUAAUAAAUCCCUUAUGUACUAAUGUGCAUUUUUUUUCAGCUUGCAAAGCUAGGGUAUCAUAUCUCAAGUUCAGUUUUAAGGUUUCUUGAUGGUUAUUUUGACUAUUUUUUCAUAUAAUGAAUACAGUAUACCUUAUAUUAAAUCACAACUCCAAAGCCACGGUUUUGUUUGUUACCUAUGUGUAUUAGCCACGCCAGUUUUUACUUUUUUUUCACUUUGGCCACCUUAGGAAGCUUCUAUCUUUUUACUUGAUGAAUAAGAGAGACAACAAAGAGAAAGGCAGACCUUAAUGAGGGACUCAGACGACAUAAAAAAUGUUAGGACGAAGCUUUCCCUGGUGGUAUCGGUUGGAGUGUACAGGCAGUGGUGGUGCAGAUGCAGCUCCGAUGAAUUGUGGUGUUGAAACAAGGUCAAAACAAAACAAAACAAACAGAAGGCGAUAAUGGUGACAGAGUGACAAAGUUUUGGAAUCACAGCCGUGAACUUAGCUGGCUUGGGUUUUUAUCGGAAAUCCGGUGACCCCUUCGAGCUGUGUGUUUCAUUUCAAAGCUAGGAACUACGAGAUACAUGUAAAUCCAAUUACCUAUCUCACGCCACCUCUGGUACAACUUCAAGUCAAUAUAUAGGUUAUUAUUAAUGAAAAGAGAACAGUUGACAUCCUUUUGGUUAACACUGAACUGUGACCAAAUUAGGCUGCCCUGCCUCUCGAUAUUCUUGACCCCCUCCACAAGGUCAAAACUAGUUCUCGAUAUUAGGUAACGGUCUGACGAUCUAAGAGAGUAGGAAUGAGGCUAUAUCUGAUUAUUAAUUACGAAAUUGGUGGCUCAACUUCUGACUCGCUAGGCAUUUAGCUGAUUCACUGACUCAGCUCGGAAUUGCUUCCAAACAUUACAAAUGGGAGUAGAAACAUAAGACAUAAAAAAGCGAUGGUCUUUAGUAGAUAAACAUAUUUACGGAUGUGAAACUGAAUGAAAUGGUGGAGUGGGCUUUGUAACUUAAAACUUCUGAGUAUAGUGUAAUGUUUCUUUGUUGUAAUCAUCUUCUCCAUUCCAUUGUUGAAGCUUUGUUUUCUCAAGUAAACGUUAAUGCUAUUGGUUCUCCUUUAAUUUUUGUUUUUCAA